CUAGUACUCCCUCCGUCCGAAAUACUUGUCCUAGAAAUGGAUAAAAUGGAUGUAUCUAUAACUAAAAUAAGUCUAGAUACAACCAUUUCCCGAACAAGUAUUUCCGGAUGGAGGGAGUAGUUG
rfam:Triticum aestivum genome assembly, contig: Triticum_aestivum_CS42_TGACv1_scaffold_529374_6DL